rnacentral:rRNA from 1 species
AUUGAACGCUGGCGGCAUGCUUUACACAUGCAAGUCGAACGGUAACAGGCCGCAAGGUGCUGACGAGUGGCGAACGGGUGAGUAAUGCAUCGGAACGUGCCCAGUCGUGGGGGAUAACGCAGCGAAAGCUGCGCUAAUACCGCAUACGAUCUAUGGAUGAAAGCGGGGGACCGUAAGGCCUCGCGCAAUUGGAGCGGCCGAUGUCAGCUUAGGUAGUUGGUGGGGUAAAGGCUCACCAAGCCGACGAUCUGUAGCUGGUCUGAGAGGACGACCAGCCACACUGGGACUGAGAAGCGGCCCAGACUCCUACGGGAGGCAGCAGUGGGGAAUUUUGGACAAUGGGCGCAAGCCUGAUCCAGCAAUGCCGCGUGCAGGAAGAAGGCCUUCGGGUUGUAAACUGCUUUUGUACGGAACGAAACGGUCCGGGUUAAUACCCUGGGCUAAUGACGGUACCGUAAGAAUAAGCACCGGCUAACUACGUGCCAGCCGCCGCCGUAAAAC